CCUGCCUGCCCAGUGACUAUAAGUUAAACGGCCGCGGUAUUUUGACCGUGCAAAGGUAGCGCAAUCACUUGUCUUUUAAAUGAAGACCUGUAUGAAUGGUGGAACGAGGGCUUAACUGUCUCCCUCCCCUAGUCAAUGAAAUUGAUCUAUCCGUGCAGAAGCGGGUAUAAAAAUACAAGACGAGAAGACCCUUUGGAGCUUAAGACAAAAGACCAACUAUGUUAAAAAUCCUAAAAAAGAUACUAAACCAAAUAAUACUGGUCCCAGUCUUCGGUUGGGGUGACCACGGGAGAAAAUAAAGCUCCCAUGUGGACAGGGGUAACCCCCUAAAACUAAGAGAUACAUCUCUAAGGCACAGAACAUCUGACCAUAAAGAUCCGGCUAUAUGCCGACCAACGGACCAAGUUACCCUAGGGAUAACAGCGCAAUCCCCUUCCAGAGUCCAUAUCGACAAGGGGGUUUACGACCUCGAUGUUGGAUCAGGACAUCCUAAUGGUGCAGCCG
rnacentral:rRNA from 1 species